CGCAACCCCCCUUCCAACUCAAAACUCUUUAUUGAUGCCGUUUUAGUGUUCUGCGGCGACUGACGGUUCGUUUUCGUCAAGAUGUAUUUUUUCCUGAAUAGCUUAUUAGUUUACUUUAAUUUUAGAAGUGACGAAUGAUAGCUAAGACUAAUAUGUAACAGGUCUCGUGUGACUGUAGUAUGGUAGUUUAAAGUGAUCAGAUAAAGUAGCUAUCUAACGUUACCUGCUAGCUUGUCUUUCGACGCCUACAUUAUUUGUUGCCUCAGCUUUUUUGCGAUGGUUGCUUUUACUUGAGUACUGAAUUACUUACGAUUCGUAUGCAAUAAGAUUAACAUAGCUAUAAGAAACGAUCAAGCUGACGUGUCCGUUCUGAAAGAUGAAAGCCACAACAAGGUUAUCGUUAGGUGGCAGGGUAUUGUUGUUAUCCUCGUCAGUUACGUAUUUAAACACAGAAUAAUUGUUAUUUCAGCUGAGUUGGCAUAUCUUUGCUAAGUAACAGCGAAAAUGUGACAUUUGUUAACUACGGUACCUAGCAAAAUGCGCGUGUUGUGGCGCAGUUGUAGGCGUGAUUUUUUUAAAAAUCGCGGCGUUUGACGAUGUUGUGGAGAAAUGGCUGCCGGGGUGACUCACUGCUGGUGCAGCUAUCUGAAGUAAAACUGUUUUAAAGCUCAUGAAAGAAUCAGGUUGUAUAAGUGUAAUUGAAAUAACCAAGUUACAAGACCAGAACCUUGUGAAGGGAGUGAAGCCGUUAGAAUAGCCAGCUAAAUAUUUGAAUAGAAAUUGAGCGUAGGUCCCACUUAUCCGAGGCAGUAUACUUCAAUGUGUAUACUAUUUAAUUAACCUAAAAUGAAGACUAGUUUGCAAGAGAAAUUUGAGCCCUUGGGAAUGGGCAGUAAAAUAUACCACUUACAAGACUGCCAUCUUGUGAAGACACGGAUAGUGGCCAGCUAAAUAUUUGAAGAUCAAGUUGAGUGUAGGUCCCUUAUAUCCGAGGCAGUUGAUAUACUUCAGUGCGUUAGAAGUGUUGGUUGCGCAUCAGGAAAAACAAUUUUAUAGUGAAAGGGGAACCAAGGUACAAGACUAUCCGUUCAAAAGUUUACUCUUUGAUUCUAGCCAGAAAAAAGUUUUAUCUAAACUGAAUAAGUACUGGUAGUUUGUCUCAAAUCCGUAUAGGCAACAUGUGAAAUAACCAAGUUACUGUUCUUGAAUCAUAUGAGAAGUUGUGAAGCCUCUUGAAUAGACAACUGAAUAUUGUAAGUUGUGCUGCAGUCGCCUUUUGAUCAUUUGAGUUAUAUUUAUUGAUUUUAUUUAUUUUUUUAACCUGACGCGAAGUACAAUAUGUGCUUAUGUUGUGAAACUUUAUUUCAAUAGCAAACAAAAUAUUGGAAGAUUAUUUAGGCCAACAGUGCCUGUUUGUCGGUCAUUUAAGCUGCUUCAAGAAGUAAAAAUGUUUUGAGCCUAAAAUGAACAAGAUGUGCUGCCGGUUACAUUUCCAAGUACAUCAGUUGCUUUGCUAGCACUAGUGGUAGGUCAAGGAGGUGCAGGCUCGUGACGUUGCUUUGUCACGCUUCAGAUUUGGUAAACUUUAUCUAUACACAAUUGGUUCUAGUUGGCGAAGAAAAGAAGAUUUUGCUGUAGAAGAAUGGACUGAGGUUUUUUUUUAAGGGGUGGGUGGGCACUUAGUUAGUAUGCAGUGUAUCAGAUGAGGAAGGACGACUUCAGGAUCAGGCAAGAACCAGGCAGAGGGAAACUAGGAGGACCAGCGGGGAGCCAGGCAGGAUCCAGGUGGAUCGCGGGAGGAGCAGACUGGACCCAGUUGAGCGAGCGGAACGCAGCAGUUUUCAUCAGAGGGAGCGCGCCAGAUGGCAGGGUAGCGAGCUGAGAGCGGAGCAGUCCCAGGUCAAGCGUUGCCCCAAUGCAGCCAGUGGGUCCCAGCAGAAAUGAGGCAGACGAGUAAAAGGGUCAACUAGCUUCGCAAGUGACAAUAAGUGUUUGUAUGAUGGGUAGCGGUAUCGAGUAAUGUUUAACUAGGCCAACAUCUUUGAAAUUAGUCCAUAUUAAAUCUGUCAACACAUUUUCUCGCAAAGUUUUCUUCCUCUUUCAGGUAAAGUGUUAAUUUUCCUGGUUGUGGCCUCUUCCUGUGUGAUGUCUGCUGUGAUGAGUCCCCCUUGGCCUACUUGGUAGAGUGCACUGGCGAGAGGACUGUCUUAAAGGAUUUCACCCUCCUGCAGCGCAGAUGUAGUACCCCCCUGGGCGGAGGAGUUUCUUCAUUGAGUUCAAUAGGUCUACUCCCCUGAGAAGUGGUCUACAUGGGAGUGUUGAGAGUCGAAAUUCUUCUGUACGUUCGUGCUGCUUUGGUGCUGAGCAGCUACAUCUGCUGGUUAAAGUGAGCAGUGAGUUUAAAUGCAUGCGAUGAUCAUGUGGGGAGUAACUAUUUCCCUCAAAUAUUGAUAUCAAAUUUCUAUUUGCCUCUUUGUAAUGGUAACUGAAAGGGAUUAUCCCUGCAUUUCAUUUGUAGUAUUGGUCAAACGUGCAUUUGUGGAUGGUGGGGGGGAGACUUUCCAAGUUCUUCUUUUCACAGGCUCGCACGCACCCUUAAAGCAAACCUGACCAUCCAAGGGAGUCCCUCUUUAGUACUGCCCACCACAUUCAUGAAAACGGUUGAGCACGUUCCCGAAACAGAUAAUUCUAAGGAUGGAUCAAGGGAAAUCUCUGGUGUUAAAAUCAUCUCCGUGUAAAGCAGCAUUUUAAAGAUCCAAAUGAUUAGCGUUGAUGUUUGAGGAGCAAGGAGUCAACCCAGUGGUCCACGUCUUUCGGGGUUCCUUUUGCCUUGUGGUGUGGAUAUUCCUUGGUGUCUACAAUGAUGUAGCAGGAGGCGGGCCACCUCUUGGAAUGUGAACUUGCGGUGUUCUCCCAGGGAGUGUGGUAACUUAACUUUUAGGCUGAUUCAUUUUAUAUCCUGGAGUUGAAAUUUGCAUUUGGGGUUUCUGGGGUCAGGGGAGGGCUUAACUGUGACUCUUCCAGAUUAUGACCCAGCCCUCAAUGAAAGAGACUGGAGGUCUACAUCUCCCCCGUCUUAAGGAGAACAGCUGAUGCCUUGAGGCCAGUGGUAUUUAAUUGUUUCUUGUGUAAAGUUAUUGUGUACGUGAAUUUGUGUAAAUUGUAUUUUAGCAACUGUUAAUACAAUUUUGAUGGUGGGUUGGUUACUGUAUGGGUGGGAAUGGUGGAAGUCUUGUUUUCCCUUUUGCGUUUUCCAGUGUGCUGUGUCCUACGCUUUCAGUACUGAAGAUCAACAGGAACGCCCCUAACUCAUUGUAUGUCAAGGUUUACUAUUGCUUCAAAACACCUCAUUAGGUCUCAAGUAAGGUCCCUUACAAAUGUUUUCACAUUUUAUAUUUCAUUAAUGACAUUUGGCACCUUGCCUUAAUUGCACGCCUUUGCAAAUUAGUUAAAUGUUUUGUAUUGAUGCAACUGAACAUUGUCAAGGAAUUAUAAUUGGUAAUAAAUGCAUAGCUUUUUCUGACUGAA